GGGUUGUGAGGUUAAGCGACUAAGCGUACACGGUGGAUGCCCUGGCAGUCAGAGGCGAUGAAGGACGUGCUAAUCUGCGAUAAGCGUCGGUAAGGUGAUAUGAACCGUUAUAACCGGCGAUUUCCGAAUGGGGAAACCCAGUGUGUUUCGACACACUAUCAUUAACUGAAUCCAUAGGUUAAUGAGGCGAACCGGGGGAACUGAAACAUCUAAGUACCCCGAGGA
rnacentral:rRNA from 2 species